GACGAACGCUGGCGGCGUGCUUAACACAUGCAAGUCGAACGGAAAGGCCCUGCUUUUGUGGGGUGCUCGAGUGGCGAACGCGUGAGUAACACGUGAGUAACCUGCCCUUCACUUUGGUAUAACUUCAGGAAACUGGGGCUAAUCCCGUAUAGGAGCUCCUGCUGCAUUGUGGGGGUUGGAAAUUUUCGGCGGUUGGGGAUGGACUCGCGGCUUAUCAGCUUGUUGGUUGGGUAGUGGCUUACCAAGGCUUUGACGGGUAGCCGGCCUGAGAGGGUGACCGGCGACAUUGGGACUGAGAUACGGCCCAGACUCCUACGGGAGGCAGCAGUGGGGAAUAUUGCACAAUGGGCGGAAGCCUGAUGCAGCAACGCCGCGUGCGGGAUGACGGCCUUCGGGUUGUGAACCGCUUUCGCCUGUGACGAAGCGUGAGUGACGGUAAUGGGUGAAGAAGCACCGGCUAACUACGUG
rnacentral:rRNA from 1 species